AGGUCAAUCAUGAUACCUUAACUUUUCUUGAAGAGAUAUGAUGACAUAAAAAUCGUGCUCAAUAGGACCAACAGGAAGCUC